rnacentral:tRNA from 1 species
CACUAGGUGUCUGAAAGUAAGUAAUGGCCUCUUAAGCCACUAAUAGUAAAUCACACCUACUUCUAGUG